rnacentral:rRNA from 1 species
UACGGAGGGUGCGAGCGUUAUCCGGAAUUACUGGGUUUAAAGGGUGCGUAGGCGGCCAGGUAAGUCAGGAGUGAAAGUUUGCGGCUCAACCGUAAAAUUGCUUUUGAUACUGCCAGGCUAGAAUUAGGAUGAGGUCAGCGGAAUGUGGCAUGCAGCGGUGAAAUGCAUAGAUAUGCCAUAGAACACCAAUUGCGAAGGCAGCUGGCUAGACCUGGAUUGACGCUGAGGCACGAAAGCGUGGGGAGCGAACAGG